GCCCGUUUACCUACCGUUGGAACCGCGAUGCCCCGUUCCCUGGCCGCGGCCGCUUCUCCAGGACCCGCGGCGACGGCAAGAGGGCGAGAACUGAGGCCCCAAGUGGCUCCGCGGCCGAGAAGCCUCUUCCUGGGGCGGCCGCUGACGGGAGGUUAAAGCUACGGCUGUGGCGCGGGGCCAGCCCGCAGGUGGCAGUAAAGUGUUUUGUCCAAACUAAAUUACAACGACUGCUUCCCAAUAGAUGGAAGCAAAGCGUCUGGACGAAGGAGAGCUUUUUUCUCAUGGUGCUGCUGUGUUAGCCUAGUGACAGCUCUGUAUGGCCCACACCUGGUCCACAGGAAGCUCUCAGGCACCUCUUGCCCGAACAAACUUGGGAGUACAGGCUAAUCCCAGUGCAGAUUCAACAUUCCUCUACUCUGCUGCCAAAACAGCCGCCAGCCUGUGGGAGUCAGACACAGGCCCACGGUGCCCCUCAGACUGCAGGAGGUACAAGUCAAGUGCUCUGAGCAGAUCCAUUGAAGGCCCACUCCCUCGACUUGAAGUAAAAGGCAGGCAGGCACCUGUGGUAAGAAUCACAGCUCACCAGCAACAGUCUCCAAAGACAUUGUCCUCAAUAAUUCUGGUUUGGCCUUUUAUAACUAAAUAACUGAGUAUUUAAUCUACCUGCUUUGUCUAAAUCCUCUGAAAUUUCUAGAGGGGGUCUAUCUCAGAAAUUACUUUAGUUUUUUGGUGGAUGGAGGGAAGAAGAUGGUUUCUUUUAUAAUAAUCUUGUUGCUUCAGUUAAAACAGUGGUUCUCAACUGCGACAAUUUUGGGGGACCAUGUGUGCAGACAUUUUUGGUUUUUUUUUAAACUUUUUUUUUCCUUCUGAAUUCAGGAUCUGCUGAAUACAGACAUUUUUGAUUGUCACCACUGGAGAGGUGCUAUUGGCUGGUGGGAGAAGGUCAAGGAUGCUGGUAAACAUCCUUUACGGCACAGGACAGCCCCUACAGCAAAGAACAGCAAUUCUGUUUGUUACAGAGAUGAGAGAAUACCUCACUAAAAGAAUACUUCAAAAUUACAUCACUUUUUCUUCUUUUUUUCCUACAAAUUCUUUACCUGUAGAUGGAAACGUCACAUUUCAAUAUAUCAAUAGAGUCAAAAAUAGCAUUUGCAAUAGCUAUUUGGCCAGGAUGAGAAGUGACUGGUAUAGACCAAUCCUUUGUGUUUCCAAGACUCCUUCUGGAGAUGAGGCCAUGCCAGGAAAAUUACUACUUGAGA
rnacentral:lncRNA from 1 species